rnacentral:rRNA from 1 species
ACUCCUACGGGAGGCAGCAGUAUGGAAUAUUGCCCAAUGGGCGACAGCCUGACGCAGCGACGCGGCGUGCCGGAUGACGGUCUUCGGAAUGUAAACCGCUAUCGGCAGGGAAGAUGGAACGGGUAACCGUUCGGACGGUACGUGCAGAAGCAGCCACGGCUAACUUCGUGCCAGCAGCCGCGGUA